UACGAAGGGGGCUAGCGUUGUUCGGAAUUACUGGGCGUAAAGCGCGUGUAGGCGGGUCUUUAAGUCAGGGGUGAAUGCCAGGGCUCAACCUUGGAACUGCCUUUGAUACUGGAGACCUUGAGUCCGGGAGAGGUGAGUGGAAUUCCGAGUGUAGAGGUGAAAUUCGUAGAUAUUCGGAAGAACACCGGUGGCGAAGGCGGCCUGCUGGGCAGUAGCUGACGCUGAGGCGCGACAGCGUGGGGAGCCGGAACAGG
rnacentral:rRNA from 1 species